CUUGCCUCUCAUCCCCAGCUUUAAAACCCGUCUGCCCGCGGCCUGCCCUGCACGGCCAUUCUGAGCCCCCCUCUCAGACCCUCUACCCCACAGCCGGCAGCUCUUGGCGCCUCUGCUGUUGCUCUCCGACGUGGGUGCACUUCUUGUCCGGCCCUCCCAUGGGAGGAGGAACUGGGUGGCUUUUGACCUUGGCAGUGACCCCAGUGCUUAGGGCGCUCAGCGGGUGCCAGGCAGAGAGUCCGCUGACAAGACCAGGCCAGACAUCGAGCCCAGGUUCUCGAUUUGCCCACUCGGGCAGCCUCGAGGGCGAGGCCCCCACUCCGUGCCUCCUCUGCCCGCUGCUCCACCGCGGGGCCGCUCGCCGUCAAGGGGGAGGGCGUCUGCCUUCCGGGCAGAACAACUGACCAUCACUCUUCUGUGCUCUGUCAGGGACCAAGUCUGCGAGCUGGAAAUUAAUAAGUAGGGCUCUCGAGGUUGGUGUUACGUGAAUAUUAUUCCCUGAGCAGCCACGGAGUGUGCUGGGGCCUGCAGACAGACAAGCAAGCGUGACCCCAGCUGCAGAAGACGUGCCCCUCAGAGGAGAACCUGCCUAGGGACACUUUCUGACCUGCUUUGGGGUCUCCCUGCUGCUCUGCAUCGCCCAGGCAGCCCACCCCCGUCCACACCACCUUCUCCUGGGCCUGGGCUUGAUUACACGCAGGUCACCUGGAUGCAUGUGUGUCUGCAGCCAGACUCAGGUGUGCACGGGGCCUGGGUUCAUGUGUGUGUGCACACACCUGGGACUCAUGUGUGCGUGCGUGCAGGGCGAGGGGGUGGGCCAGCUGCCUUCCUCCUCGUUGUCUGGAGAAGUCGCCAUUGUGCCUCCAUCCCUGUGGACAGCCAGCGUGGCGCAGAACCGUUCAAAGCUCUUCCCCCAGAACUCUGCUGGCCUCACUCCGUGGUCUGCCCGCUCCCUCGGCCGACGGGAGAAACCUGCCACGGGUCAGGCCCCAGCUCCCCGGCCAGGACUGCUUCUUCCCUCUGUGAGCUCUCAGGGUUUUCCCCGACUGUCGUCACUCUGAAUGUCACCAGGCGUGCGUGUUUUCCCGUCGUUAGUCCUGCUCUAUGAUUACCGGGCACAUUCGAUCUGGAAACAUGACGCCCGCUGCAGCUGGGGGCGGGGAGGGGGGGGCACGCUUCUCCCAUCGUUAUUCCUUAAACUCUGAUUUCUCUCCUGCACUGACCCGCGCUCUCUCGAGAGCUGCUCCCAGAUGCUGCUGAGUCUCUGUCCUUCUGUCGCGUGUUCCCGGGGUCCCUUCACUUGUCUUCUGGAACACCAGCUUGAUCCACAGCCGCGUCUGGUGAUGACCCGAUCUGGCCGCUGGGCUGUCUGUGGUAAUUUCUGCGAUCUCCCAUAUUCCAAACAUCCCAGCACUGUUUUCUCCAGGCUUGACCGGCAGAACCCAGGUGUCGGUCGGGCACGUGUGUGUCGCCCACCUCCUGGCAGCUCCAGGGCACCUGUCAGGGAGGGGGUGUGGUAUUUAUUUCUUGUCUGGCGCGGUGGCGGGUGUUGACCUGUGGGCAGCGUGCUUGUGCCAUUUCUCCCCUUGCGGACCCGGGGCCCGGCCGAGGCGGG
ensembl:lncRNA